GAUGAACGCUGGCGGCGUGCCUAAUACAUGCAAGUCGAGCGAACGGACGAGAAGCUUGCUUUUCUGAUGUUAGCGGCGGACGGGUGAGUAACACGUGGAUAACCUACCUAUAAUACUGGGAUAACUUCGGGAAACCGGAGCUAAUACCGGAUAAUAUUUUGAACCGCAUGGUUCAAAAGUGAAAGACGGUCUUGCUGUCACUUAUAGAUGGAUCCGCGCUGCAUUAGCUAGUUGGUAAGGUAACGGCUUACCAAGGCAACGAUGCAUAGCCGACCUGAGAGGGUGAUCAGCCACACUGGAACUGAGACACGGUCCAGACUCCUACGGGAGGCAGCAGUAGGGAAUAUUCCGCAAUGGGCGAAAGCCUGACGGAGCAACGCCGCGUGAGUGAUGAAGGUCUUCGGAUUGUAAAACUCUGUUAUUAGGGAAGAACAUAUGUAUAAGUAACUGUGGACAUCCUGACGGUACCUAAUCAGAAAGCAACGGCUAACUACGUG
rnacentral:rRNA from 1 species